GAUGAACGCUGGCGGCGUGCUUAACACAUGCCAGUCGAACGAAGCACUUUAACCUGAUUCUUCGGAUGAAGGUUUUUGUGACUGAGUGGCGGACGGGUGAGUAACGCGUGGGUAACCUGCCUCAUACAGGGGGAUAACAGUUAGAAAUGACUGCUAAUACCGCAUAAGACCACAGAGCCGCAUGGCUCGGUGGGAAAAACUCCGGUGGUAUGAGAUGGACCCGCGUCUGAUUAGGUAGUUGGUGGGGUAACGGCCUACCAAGCCAACGAUCAGUAGCCGACCUGAGAGGGUGGCCGGCCACAUUGGGACUGAGACACGGCCCAAACUCCUACGGGAGGCAGCAGUGGGGAAUAUUGCACAAUGGGGGAAACGCUGAUGCAGCGACGCCGCGUGAGCGAAGAAGUAUUGCGGUAUGUAAAGCUCUAUCAGCAGGGAAGAAAAUGACGGUACCUGACUAAGAAGCACCGGCUAAAUACGUG
rnacentral:rRNA from 1 species